UAAUUAUACUGCUCAGCGGAAGUCAAUUAUCCUUGCUAGUAGGUUCCCAUUCCUUCUGAUGGCUUUUGGAAUAAUUAUUAAGCAACUAGAAAUAAAAGGAAAAUCCUUUAGUAAUUUUACAUGAAUGCUACCUUGUGAUGUAUUGACUACCCAUAUGUAUUACAGCUCUUAUACUGGCAUUUUCAAGGAUACAUUAAAAUGCUCUUACAACAACUGAUCAUUUAAAUGUCAUGUUGUUGCUCUGUUGAAAGCCAAUUUCUUUGAGUAAUGCUCCCUUCCUUCUUUCUGCUGUUAUAAUGGAG
rnacentral:misc_RNA from 1 species